GCGAGCAUCAGAGCAGAAGUGUGAGAGCUGGAAUCCUUCUGCAGUGGACUUAAUUUUCUUUUCCUCCUCUCUUUCAGGACAGGAAAAAUCAUUACACUCCUCCCAUCUUUGCCAAGAGCUGUGGUGUUUGAGCAGCCAAAACCAAGAGGCUUCAGCACCAAAGGUCUGUGCCUGGAGGGCUCCUGGUCCUGCCCAUGAUGUGGGUGAGAAGAACACGAACUCACGGCCAUUCAGGCCUGACAGUCCCCUGCAGCAAGAGUUAAGCACGCAUCCACAGAGGCAAGUCCGGCAUCUGAAA